UCCUACGGGGAGGCAGCAGUAAGGAAUAUUGCUCAAUGGCCGAAAGGCUGAAGCAGCAACGCCGCGUGGAGGAUGAAAUACUUUUGUAUGUAAACUCCUGUAAGAGGGGAAAAAUAUGCAGAUUUUCUGCGUUGAUUGUACCUUCAGAGGAAGCCCCGGCUAACUACGUGCCAGCAGCCGCGGUAAUACGUAGGGGGCGAGAGUUGUCCGGAUUUACUGGGUGUAAAGGGUGCUCAGGUGGAUUUGUAAGUCAGAGGUGAAAUCCCAAAGCUCAACUUUGGAGCUGCCUUUGAUACUGCAAGCCUUGAGUUUGAGAGAGGGCAAUGGAAUAUCUGGUGUAGCAGUGAAAUGCGUAGAUAUCAGAUAGAACACCAAUGGCGAAGGCAGUUACCUGGCUCAAAACUGACACUAAAGCACGAAAGUGUGGGGAGCAAACAGGAUUAGAUACCCUGGUAGUCCACACCCUAAACGAUGAAUACUAGAUGUUGGUCCUUUUUAGGGUCAGUAUCCAAGCUAACGCAUUAAGUAUUCCACC
rnacentral:rRNA from 1 species